UUAAAAGAUGGAAUGUAAUAAAAUGUUUAACAAAGCAAACAAGGGAACAAACUUGAGGGACCAAAGAUGAACAAGGGGGAAAGUUAUGUCUUAAGUAACAAACACACCCACACAAGCACACACACAUUUCGUGUGUUCUAGAACGAUCAGGGGGAACUCCCCAUGAACCAAACCCUAGUUCUAACACAAUCAUCAAAUUGAGGAGUCAAAUGAAGCUCAAAUUCACAACCAAACAUGAAUUAAGGAUCACCUACUCAAGGGGAUCAUGAGGAAUCAUGUCGAGACGGAAUCAAGCACGGAUGGAUAAUGGGUCAAGAAGUGGCGAGGAAACGAAUAUGAACACGGAUGCAUGAGGUAGGUAGAACGUACGUAUGCGUUUAGAUGAAUAUGGGCUCACGAGAGGAUCCAUACACGAAGGUAUGCACGUAUGUAGGUUUGUGUGAAGGCAGGUAAUAAGUAUGAAUGUAUGUAUGUAUGUAUAUAUGUAUGCAUGUAUGUAGGUAUGUAUGUAUGUAUGUAUGUAUGAAUGUAGGUAUGUAUGUAUGUAGGUAGGAAUGGACGUAAUUGGGUAUGCACGUACGUAGGUACGUACGUAUGUAUGCAGGUACGUAUGUAGGACAGUUGCUAUUUGUGACCGUAAAGGUAUGUAUCAGUUUGUAUGAAAGGUAUGUACGCAUGCAUCUAAUGAAAUUGAGUACUAACGGUAAUAGUUGCGUGCUUGGUGAAUGAAGUGUAACGCAGGAAUACCAAAGAAGUCUCACUACGGAUCAUAUGAUCAGGAUGGGAACGCUGGGAUAUAAAGAGUUAACGAAACGAGAAGUAAACGUGAACAAACCUUGUAUGUUUAUAACGCGUACUAAUGAUGUGAAAUUUUAUGUGGUGAGCGCAGGUAGUACCAGUCAUGAGGAUAUCCAAGGAUUGGAGAUCGAAGAUCGAGUCACUAGAGAGAUUGUACGGAAACGUUGAUGUACAUAAUGUAGUAAACAUAAGCUAUGUUUUUAACUAGUAAAUAAGAGGAUGACGGAUUUAUGAGAAAGAACUGUGUUAAAGUUAAAUCUUAAAUAAGUUGAGGUAUUUAUAGUGAAAGAAAUUUUAUGGUA